AGCUUUGCACAGUGGCAGUAUCGAAGCCAAUGAGGUUUAUCCGAGGCGUGACUGUUGCUAAUUGAAAACUUUUCCCAAUACCCCGCCAUGAUGACUUGAAAAAAUAAAAUAAGAUAAAUAUAAAACAAUUAUCUCUGGACUGUGGAUCAAUCAAAUGA
rfam:Myotis lucifugus cont2.46134, whole genome shotgun sequence.